AUACAGAGGCUAGAACUGCUCUCUUGGAAUAUCACUUUCCAGAAAAACCCUAAAUAAAUCUGGAGCGAACAGCUCUUUUUGUUUUGCGUUCCUGACCCAACGGCCACUGUUCAACAACGCUGUUACUAGCUGAUUGCAAUCAGCCCAUAACAAAUGAAUUUUUCGGUACUAAACAGAUAUACCAAAAUUGAAACUGGCAACGCAACAAUCGAUCUCUGAAUUCUAAGAAGAUCAGUCACACAACACAGACAGGCUUUCUUCAUUUUUCUUCUAAAUGUUGAUAUCAACUUCUACAAGCACCCAAAGGUUUACUUGCUGCUCAUGCAAACCCUAUUCCACUAGAUAUGAACGUACAUGAUGUUUAUCAUCUCAAAGGCUUAUCGAAAGGAAGAACAACCCAAAAACAUGUACUUGAGGAGUAUACCAUACAUAAGGAUUCCGGACAGUUGAUAGUAAAUGUUCAAAUAGUGACGCUAUCUCUAGUUGCCCUUUACAAGAAUUUGGGGAUACACAGUUGAUUUUUCCUGGCAUUUGCCAAAUUCCUAAUAGGUCAUUACACUACGAUGCAAAACAAAUAUCUGCUGUAAAUUCUGAAGAUUAUACUUCUCCACUCCCAAAAUUAUCUUGAACAAAUAUUUCUGGCAGAAAACUCAGAUUCAACACCUUACAACUCGGACAUAUAUGGAUACAUCCCACAAAAGUUUGUGACCGUCUAUUCAUAGAGUGGACAAAAAAUGGCGCAAAUCAUGUCGUUGAUUUUCUGUGACUAUUUGGAAUCAUUUUAGGAAUUAACAAGGGAACAUUACAAUUACAAAAAUAAAUGUACACUUUUUAUUAUUGAAAAAUUCAUUGUUACUGAUUGGAGGUGUAUACUGCACCUGCCUAUCAAGUAAUACUUCAUUUGCAUACAUUUUUUUAA